rnacentral:SRP_RNA from 1 species
GUGCAGCAGCCCGUUAUCCUUCCACCGUUGGAAGCGGGCAGUUGUCGCUGCUCUGUGAAGCCAGCCUCACGCUGUGCCUGCCACAUUACGGCCCGUGAGGCUCAGCUUUCGCACAGGCCCCAGCGGUCCACUACUCAACUUGGAACGGCGGGCCAGCAGCAGCACGACCGGACCAGGCCCACAGCGCUACGGCAACAUCCACACCACCUUAAUACCCCCGCUCGGGUUACAAGCUCGCGCUACUGA